rnacentral:rRNA from 1 species
CCUACGGGUGGCAGCAGUGAGGAAUAUUGGUCAAUGGCCGGAAGGCUGAACCGGCCAUGCCGCGUGAAGGGCAGGGCCCUAUGGGCGUUAAACUUCUUUUGUGCGGGAGCAAUAAUGGUCACGUGUGGCCAGACGAGAGUACCGUACGAAUAAGCAUCGGCUAACUCCGUGCCAGCAGCCGCGGUAAUACGGGGGAUGCAAGCGUUAUCCGGAUUUAUUGGGUUUAAAGGGUGCGUAGGCUGGGUGGUAAGUCAGCGGUGAAAUGCCCCCGCUACACGGGGUGAAGUGCCAUUGAUACUUCCGUGCUGGAGUGCGGAUGCCGUGGGAGGAAGGUGUGGUGUAGCGGUGAAAUGCAUAGAUAUCACCCAGAACACCGAUUGCGAAGGCAUCUCACGAAUCCGCGAUUGACGCUGAUGCACGAAAGCGUGGGUAUCAAACAGGAUUAGAUACCCUGGUAGUC